GUGACACGACUGUGACACACCCUGCAGUGGCACCUGCAGAGGUUUGUCUGGGUGUCCACAGCCCCUGGUGACAGCACUGCCACCCCUGCCAGGUCCUCAAAUGCAAACGGGUCACGCUGAGGUCCCCAAAGGAGGAUGGGUCACGCUGAUGUCCCCAGAGGAGGAUGGGUCAUGCUGAGGUCCCCAGAGGAGGAUGGGUCACGCUGAUGUCCCCAGAGGAGGAUGGGUCACGCUGAGGUCCCCAGAGGAGGAUGGGUCAUGCUGAGGUCCCCGAGGGAGCUGGGCCAUGCCGAGGGGCCCUUCCCAGCAGAGAUGCCACAGGUUAAUUUCUUGGAAACAUCUCACCUUGUUUUUGAUCCACUGUGGAUGGUACAGGAGCUGAGCAGGAGAGAAGAGAGAGAGAAGAAAGGCAGCUCCACCAAAAGCCGCAUAAACAGCUGAAUGAAUGAAAAGGAUUAAAAAUAACACCCAACCCCGAGGUGAAAUUAGGAGAAACAAAUGGCUAAAACAGGA